CUCGAACAUCUUAUUCUCCUUCUUGCUCCACUCCGAGUAUGAGCUCGGCGAGGAGCUCCGCGGUGACCCAGAAGACAUCCUUGGAGCAGGCAGCAGUUACCACUCACUCGAUAUGAUACAUGUAAAUGGACGGCGAGUGCUCAGGUUUCACAAGGGGAAAAAACCGAAGUGCUCUGGAUGCGCAUGCACCCUCUCCAGCUCAGUUACUACACCAGCUAGCUGUAGCUGGCCUUACUCACAAGUAAAAACAUUUUGACAAACAGUACUAGCUGUAGCAGUUACGAAGCAUGGAUCGAUGCUGCAUGCUCUGCUCACGUCACCAACGGAAGCAUGCAUCUCUGGAUGCAUGGCGAUAUCUUAGCCGUGUGUGAUCCUGACAUUGAUUGGCAGAGAGCUCUCCAUGUAAGGCGUACGCAUCAACCAAUAGGAUGCAAGGCGCCCGCAGGAGGAGAACUGAGAUGUGAAGAAAGGACCCUCGGAAUUCAGAGAAGUUUAGGGAACACCAUGAUUGAUUCAUCCAUUUGAGAGAGGAAAAAUGGCAGGGAUGUGGGCUAAGAGCCUCCAUUCUUUACAUGUCGCGUGAUCUCCGCCACCCGGUCGACGAACAGAUUCCAAAGAGGCAAUGAACACCCUCUAGCUCCGGGGACCGAAGGAAUAUAUCUAUCUCAACAUGUGUAUCUUUCCAUCUCCAAUGGUCUUGGAAAGGGAAUUGACAAAAUGCCAUCCUGUCCUGCUUGCUUGUUGCUUGCCCAAUGAGUCCUUGGAGGCUGGGAUUUGCAUCGGAUACACUGGACCGGACCGGGACGGUGGGUGCAACUUGCGUCGGGUUUGAUUCUUGCGGGCGUGUGGAUCGGUCCACCAUCCGUCCACCAGAGAUCUGUUCAUUGGAAUCAUAUCUGCGUAAAAUCUAAAGAAGCAGGAUUCCCCGUCAUAUUUCGAACAAUCGGAGCAAAAGGCUUAUCAGGGAGAUGCUAGGUAGUGCAUGCCUGUUCCAUGUAUUAAUUUUGCUGUCAUUUUGUGCAAACUAGUAAAGCAUACUUAUUUCAUGUGUUUCCACAAACAUAUUUUCCAUAAUUCAUGUACUGUAUUAAUUUCGCUGUCACUUUGUGCAAA